CCAAGGAGUCUAGCGUGUGCGCGAGUCAUUGGGUGUAAAACCUAAAGGCGCAAUGAAAGUGUCAGGGGCGCCUCCUUCGGGAGCGCGCCCCGUUGGGAGGAUGGGCACCCGUACGUACUGCUCGUCGGGGCCCCGCACUCCCGGGGCGUCUCGUUCUCACCACGAGUGGAGACGCACCAGGAGCGCACACGCUGGUACCCGAAAGAUGGUGAACUAUGCCUGGCCAGGACGAAGCCAGGGGAAACCCUGGUGGAGGUCCGAAGCGAUUCUGACGUGCAAAUCGAUCGUCUGAGCUGGGUAUAGGGGCGAAAGACCAAUCGAA
rnacentral:rRNA from 1 species